GAAACAUUUAAAUAUAUAAAGGGAAUCAACACAGUAAAGGAGGAGACUAUAUUUAAAAGAAGAAAAACUACCACAACAAGAGGACAUAGUCUUAAAUUAGAGGGGCAAAGGUUUCAAAAUAAUAUCAGGAAGUAUUACUUUACUGAGAGGGUAGUGGAUGCAUGGAAUAGCCUUCCAGCUGAAGUGGUAGAGGUUAACACAGUAAAGGAGUUUAAGCAUGCGUGGGAUAGGCAUAAGGCUAUCCUAACUAUAAGAUAAGGCCAGGGACUAAUGAAAGUAUUUAGAAAAUUGGGCAGACUAGAUGGGCCGAAUGGUUCUUAUCUGCCGUCACAUUCUAUGUUUCUAUGUUUGUA